CACACUGCAAUCUGUUGGGAGCACGGACAGCCACAGCGCUGGUAGGAAGGAGCUUGCAUGGCUCGGAGAAGACCUUGGAAAUGCUGCUGGCGUCAUACACCUGCUGUUGUUUUCCUUCCAGUUUUUCUAGCUACUAUGAGAUCCUGAGUCAACAGAAUUCUCAAUUCCCGAGAGACGUGGUAGCAGAGGCCAAGGAUGGAGAUUGGGAUUGUCUAGGUCUCUGCGGUCCUCGGUCCCAUUCCACAUAUGUAAUCCUCACUGUGUCAGUCGAAUUUCUGAGUUUGGUUACGUUUCUGUCUUUGACAGUUACUCAAAGUUGCUGACUCAGCAGAAUUCCCAACUCAACUCUCAUUCAUCACCACAUUGAAGUUGACUGGUCAGCUCGAGAGACAACAGACAGGGAGACCUGGAGCAUUCGUUCGAUCCUGCAGUCAGCUGUUUUGUGACCAUGUUAGGUGGUAUUAUCAGUGGUGCUUCCGAUGAAACGAUGUUCUUCUAAACUGCUUGGAAUUUACACUGUCCGGUUGUUACGGAACUGGGAGAGAAUCCUUCAGGACGGCAAUGUCUUCACCCUUUAUAUCAGGAACUGUAAAGAGGUGACAUGAGCCUGCUCUCGAGCGAUUGAGUCUGUGGGAAUGUUCUAGAAACCAUCUGUUCUUAUGGAUGUGCGUUUGUGCCAUUCGGAGGGGAGAGUUUCUUGUGCUUUACAUUACAUUUUUCUUAAUAAAUGAGACAUAGUAUUUGUCAUUUCAGCUUCAUUUGUUUUUUCAUUAAAUCAGUGACACAUUUGAAAAUGUCACUGGGUCCUCAAUCAAACUGGUAACUUUGCCUCCAGGCUGAUGUAUAAUUUAUUUGUUUUC